rnacentral:rRNA from 1 species
GACGAACGCUGGCGGCGUGCUUAACACAUGCAAGUCGAACGCUGAAGACCUGGCUUUUGUUGGGUUGGAUGAGUGGCGAACGGGUGAGUAACACGUGAGUAACCUGCCCUCUUCUUUGGGAUAACGCCCGGAAACGGGUGCUAAUACUGGAUAUUCACUGAUCUUCGCAUGGGGGUUGGUGGAAAGGUUUGUUCUGGUGGGGGAUGGGCUCGCGGCCUAUCAGCUUGUUGGUGGGGUGAUGGCCUACCAAGGCUUUGACGGGUAGCCGGCCUGAGAGGGUGACCGGUCAAAUUGGAACUGGGAUACGGCCCAGACUCCUGCGGGAGGCGGCAGUGGGGAAUAUUGCACGAUGGGCGAAAGCCUGAUGCAGCGACGCAGCGUGAGGGAUGGAGGCCUUCGGGUUGUAAACCUCUUUCGCUCAUGGUCAAGCCGCAACUGUGGGUUGUGGUGAGGGUAGUGGGUAAAGAAGCGCCGGCUAACUACGUG